CCUACGGGUGGCAGCAGUGGGGAAUAUUGCGCAAUGGGCGAAAGCCUGACGCAGCGACGCCGCGUGAGGGAUGAAGGUCUUCGGAUCGUAAACCUCUGUCAGCAGGGAAGAACGGUCACUGUGCUAAUCAGCAGUGAAUUGACGGUACCUGCAAAGGAAGCACCGGCUAACUCCGUGCCAGCAGCCGCGGUAAUACGGAGGGUGCGAGCGUUAAGCGGAAUUACCGGGCGAAAAGCGCUCGUAGGCGGUAUGUCAAGUCAAGGGUGAAGUCUCCGGGCUCAACGUGGGAACUGCCUUUGAAACUGGCAAGCUGGAGUGUGUGAGAGGAUAGUGGAAUUCCUGGUGUAGGAGUGAAAUCCGUAGAUAUCAGGAGGAACAUCAGUGGCGAAGGCGACUGUCUGGCACAUAACUGACGCUGAGGAGCGAAAGCGUGGGUAGCAAACAGGAUUAGAUACCCUAGUAGUC
rnacentral:rRNA from 1 species